UGUCAUGACAUACGGGACUGUCCUCUGUGCGGACAGGACUCAGACCCGAGCCAUUGGCUGUGGCCACGAGGUGCGCAGGCCGCUCCGUGUGGGGGCCCCUUCUGACUUGCCCAGCAGGGACCGGGCGUCCUUUACACAGCAGAGUGAGGCAGGGCUCAGCCCUUGCAGGCAUUGUCCUUGCCACUGACCCCUGGGUCCUCAUGGCAGGCCCAGAGAGGCGGAUGACUUGGCCAGGGUCACACAGCCAGCAGCAGAGCAGCUGGGAGCUGAAGGGACAGGCCUCAGGCCUGGAGCACUCUCAGAGACCCUGCUGCCUCUGUGGAGGCGGGGGCUGCCUCCUGAGGUCACAGGACCCUCCCACCGGCCUGAGCUGGUGGUGUCUCAUGCCCCUCCCG
rnacentral:lncRNA from 1 species